UACGAAGGGGGCUAGCGUUGCUCGGAAUCACUGGGCGUAAAGCGCACGUAGGCGGAUUUCUAAGUCGGGGGUGAAAUCCUGGAGCUCAACUCCAGAACUGCCUUCGAUACUGGAAAUCUCGAGUCCGGGAGAGGUGAGUGGAACUCCGAGUGUAGAGGUGAAAUUCGUAGAUAUUCGCAAGAACACCAGUGGCGAAGGCGGCUCACUGGUCCGGUACUGACGCUGAGGUGCGAAAGCGUGGGGAGCAAACAGG
rnacentral:rRNA from 1 species